rnacentral:ncRNA from 2 species
ACAAGCAUGGGAGACGUUGAAAUGCGUUUAGUAUCUGGGCACCUUAAACGCAUGGAGUCAGUGGUGCAACCGUCCUGAAAUGA